rnacentral:ncRNA from 2 species
UUGCGACGACGUGGCGAUUUGUUACCGGAUUGCGGGCCACGUUAAACAUGCCGCUAAAAGGCCCGACGAAAGCCCCU